rnacentral:rRNA from 1 species
UACGGAGGAUGCGAGCGUUUAUCCGGAUUUAUUGGGUUUAAAGGGUGCGUAGGCGGACUGUCAAGUCAGCGGUAAAAUACGGGGGCUCAACCUCCGCCCGCCGUUGAAACUGACGGUCUUGAGUGGGCGAGAAGUAUGCGGAAUGCGUGGUGUAGCGGUGAAAUGCAUAGAUAUCGCGCAGAACUCCGAUUGCGAAGGCAGCAUGCCGGCUCCACACUGACGCUGGAGGCACGAAGCG